AACCUAUUAGCUCAAAUGGUAGAGCACUAUGAAGAUGCAUAGGGGAUGUAGGUUCGAUUCCUACAUAGGUUG
rfam:Spinacia oleracea cultivar SynViroflay scaffold2631.con0002.1, whole genome shotgun sequence.